ensembl:snRNA U1 U1 spliceosomal RNA
AUAAUUGAAUUGGUUCACCCAGGGCGAGGCUGAGCCAUUGCACUUCGGCUGCGCUGACCCGUGCGAAUUCUUCAAAUGUGGGAAUCUCAACUGCAUAAUUUGUGGUAUUGGGGGACUGCGUGAGAGUCUGCA